rnacentral:lncRNA from 1 species
GAAUAUAUUACAACAUCGAUGAGGGAUUAAGCUUGAAGAUAGAUAUCACACAAUUUAAGUAGAUUAAUUUACAUCCCAUGGGCACUAGCGGAAACAAGACUAAAAUACAACUAUUCUCCCAACAUAUAUUUGGGUUUAAUUGCUAAGCAAAACAUAAUAAGUUUAUAGCCCAAAAGACGUGCGACGGACAUGUUCAACAAAAGAGGUACAUAUAUGAGGCCUUUUACAUAUUUUAUAGCAUUUGUAGAAUCUGGCAAAAAGAAAACUCCGCUGCACAACACACCUGCUUUCCAUUCCCUCUCAACCUGCA